rnacentral:lncRNA from 1 species
CUUAAACUUAAAUCCGCUUAAAUCAGUCGUUUCUCGUUUUGAAAGUCUAUGUGGAAUUUCAGGUUUUCAAUAAUUUGAUUAAACUGUUACUUCCGAAAACACGAUCUAUUGUAGGUUUGUUGACAAGCAGCGACAUAACAUAGGCACAUAGCCUACAAUUUAUACUUGGUAAUUCCAUUUGACCAUGUGGCCUGAAACUGCUGUAAUUUUCCCAAAAUGUUGUCUCUUGCUGCACAUUUCGUUUGAUGAAGAGAUUCAGAACAGUACGCCUGGUGAAGUCUGUGCUUAUUCAUUUCAGUCCAAUGUGCACAUGGAUUUGUUGCAGCCAGCUGGUGAAAGGUGUUUCUCUUACAGGCUGGCAACCUGUACUGGUUGUAGCUUUUGUCACAUGCUGAAACACUUCAGAACAAUAUGAAAUAAUCAAGUCAACCUUUACUAAAUAGGAUUAGUAGCCCCUCAACUUCUGAGCCUCUUCGUUGUAGUCCAAUGUGCACAUGGAUUUGGUGCAGCCAGCUGGUGAACGGUGUGGUGAGCUGUUGCAUGCAGACUGUUGUGCUGAUAGUGGACGGAAAUGUGUUGCUGACGGUGUUUUUCGGUUUUACAUUUAGAAACAAUGAGGUAUCUUCCAUGCAAUUCGAAAGUUAACAAUUCUAAAGCAAAGCAUGUCGGAAGAUCUUGCCUUUCUCCACGUGAUCGUUGUCGUGUCAUGAAGAUGCGUCUUUGAGAGGGUCUCAACUGCAUUGCACAAAAAAAAUGUGAUGAAAAAAGAAAAUCUGAAAUGGUGGUAAUGCACUUGUAAGAUAAUUCAAUUUUCCACUGCCAUUUGUUUGAGCUAUAUUUGGUGUUGCUGUUUGGUGUGCAGGGAUUUUGCAGCCAUUUUCCAGUUGGGAGAUGGGUUGAAAUGGAGUUUGUGCAGACUUGCAGUUAAACAUCACACUUAAAUGUGUCAUUUGCCUAUGUUGGUGGCCAUGCAGUGUUGAACUGUUGUGUAAAAUUGUCGAAGUUCCCUGAUGGCUGUCGGGCUUUUUUUAAUAGGCAGCAUUUUGUCGAUAUGUCGCUUCUCUUGCUAGCUGUACCGCCGCUGAGUUGAUUCGUUUGCCGCCGUUGCUUAGACUUGAUCCACCGGUGAAACUAAGAAGACGUUGCUGAAAUUCAAGAUUGAUCAAUAAAUUAUGUAGAUAAAUUACAAGUGCAUAAUCUGGGCUCCCUUCUUCAGUGGCCCCGUUUCCCUAAAUAACCACUAACCAACGCCCGCCGGUGGUCACUCACUCGCUGCGACAACCAGGAGGAAGGGAGAUGUUUGGUCGAACGGGGACUUGCAAGGCGCAUGAUUCGAUGAAAUCUGUUGGAGGGUCAUGAGUCCAAGCCGGAAGCCUACUAAGAUUAAUCGCUCUCGUAAUAACUGCUCCUCAGCUCUCUUCGCUCUUUUUUCGGUUUCUCUUAACCAUGGCCGAGUAAUCUCCCUGGUCGAGUCAGUCGGGCAGUGUCUUCCCUUGCUUGACUGGCUGCAGUUUGAACCGGAUGGUCUGUUAAAAUAAGAAUUUAAAUCUAGAACAAUGCCUCCUUUGAGCAGUCCGGACAAUCCUGAAUCCUUUAGGGUUGCCAUCCAUCGGGGCUUAAACGAGGAUGACGCGGAGGUGUUGCCAAUUGAGGGGUUUUGGUGACAAGGAGUCACUGAACGAAACGCUAAACCAAAUGAAAAAAAUAAUAAAAAAAGGUAAUGCUAGGUACGACAUGAAGCUUUUGCUUUCGCAGGAAAUAAUUUGAAUUUGUUUGGAGCCAACGAUCCUUUAUAUAUCCGAGCCGAGUCCUUUCCGUCUACAUUCGGUGUGAAGAGCAAAACCCAAAUUUCAACCCAUUUCGCUGAUUAGCAACGAAAACAAAGCGAGUGUCAAAACAUUGUUUUACUUGCGCAUACUUUAUUGUGGCAGAAACGCGUUGGUCAUGUAACAGGGUGGAAUUUUUUCCAUUUUGUUCAUGCAGCAUCAAACGACACGAUAGGUUCCGGCGGUAAUCAACUAUUCAAGAUGGUAGACAUGUCAAUGUAAAAGACAGGGUAAGGGUAGCUCCUGUAAAUGUUAUUCAUUAAUGUUAAAAAGCUGCUAGUAGGAUCUCAUUGUUGAUUUGCGGUUACAAAAUCCAUAGCCCUAGAGUUCAGGUAAUGUCAAUCAAUCAAUUGAUUUGCGUUUUAGAUACUCCUAAAUAUUAGUUGUGGAAAUACGAUUCCCCCCCCCCUUCUCCUGGAUGAUUACUAAGGAUCAUCUAAGUAUAUUUUUGAGUUAUUCGUUGUGAACGUAGCGGACGAACUCUGACAGUCUAUCGAGCUUUAGCAAUUGCGUCUAAUUUCUUAUUUUAUUGAUUUUAUUCAACCGUUUAAUGAGAAGCUUUGAUUUGUAUUUUUCUAUAUUAAUAAUUUACCUUUUUUCAUCUUUUUUUUUUUUUUUUAUUUUCUUCUCUUCUCCGACCGCUUUGAGCCAAUGGAAAACCGAGAAGGUGAAAGCGGAAAUUGUUAAUGUUUUGCUCAAAGCUAAUGUGGAAGGUGCAGUUUUGGAAGACUACAAGGUCGCAUUGACCUUAAACAAUGGUUAAAAGCAGAUUUAAACUGACCAUGUCGUCGCUGCUGUCGGUUGGGAUGCAAACACGGAUUUGGCUGUUGCUUUUGGUUUGAAAAUAGAGGAGAGGAGAUUUUGGUGGUUAUCGAGUCAAUACCAAGCUUGAAGCAUGAUCGAACGUUUGUUUGGUUGGAGAUGUUGCGUUCUUUUGUGAUAUCAAAUUGGGUCGCUGUUGUAUGGAACAUGAUCACCAUGCUGUUGUAUCAGGGCGAUUGGCGGGAGAGAACAAUACUGGCAAAGAAACAUGGAUGAAAAACUGCAGUGCACUGUUGCCAAGUGCAUUCUUCGUCGUAUUAUCAGUACGCAAUCGGUUGAUGUGAUGUCGUGAUGUUGCCGUUUGCCGUAUCGUUGAAGGCUGGGUCGAUCACUGGUGUAGCGAUGUCUCCUGGGUAUAGCGGAUACCAAAGCACCACACCGCCGCCUUACUACACAACAACAACAUUCGCAAAAACCGGUUACUACACUGAGGCACACAAUUCCUACACCACCAAGGCUCCAGAGUAUUAUACCACAGCUGAUGCUGCCCCGAGUUACACCAUCAAACGUACUACACCGAGGCUCCAAAGUACUAAAACCACCAAGUCACCGGAGUAUUACACGUAUGUUGCCCCAGAUUGCUGCACCGAGGCUCCCAAGUAUUACCUAGUUCCUAGCUACUACACCGAGGCUCCAACUUAUACACCACCAAAGCGGCUGAAUACUACACCGAGCCGCCCAAGUACUACACCAACAAGGCUCCAGAGUAUUACACCACAACUUGUGCUUCCCCGAGCCUCUACACCGAAGCCCCGAAGUAUUACUUUGCCCUAAGCUACACAACUACAACUGAGGCGGCCAAGUACUACGCAGCCCCAACUUACUACACAGCGGCUGCUCCUUCGUACUACGUUGAAUCGGAAUACUACACCUAGGAUUCAGUUUACUACACCACAACCUUCGCUACACCGAGGUCCCUAUGUACUACACUACCAAGGCACCUGAGUAUUAUAACACUACUUUCGCUGCUCCGACCAACUACACCAAUGCUCCGAAGUAUUACUCUAUCCCGAGAUACUACACCACUAAGGUACCUGAAUAUUACACCACACCUCACGCUUCUCCAACUUACUACAGGGACGCUCCUAAAUAUUAUAACUAUGUUCAGAUUUGUCGGUCAUAUCUUAAUAGUUACUUGUCACUGGGAAUUGUUGAUCUUUAAUAGGGAAAUAAUUUUUUUAAAACCUGGGUAAUCAUUGUGUACGACUUCUCUUGUCACCUAAAAGCCUUAAGACAUUGCGACGUUUUCUUAUUUUGGUUGGGUCUUUCCUAUUUCGCAUGUUGGAGGUGACUAUUACUCUAGUCGCUCCGCAUUGCGACAUAUUCUAGUGUUUGGACGAACUUCAUUUACAGGGUAAAUUACGAAAGAGACGUACUGUGUGGUGUUUACUAAAAUUGUUUGAUGUUUACAGUUCUUUCUACGUAAGUGUUACUAUUCUUUUUAACGUAAGUUGGCGUAACAAAAGAGCUGUAAAUAGUGUGUGGUUUAUCAUAGAAGUUUAUUUGAAGAAUGUGGAGUUUAUCAGUUGCUUGCAUAUAACUUAUGUAAAACUUGAAAGUUGUAAAAAAUACACAAAGUCGUAAACUAAA